rnacentral:rRNA from 1 species
AGUGAACGCUGGCGGUAUGCUUAACACAUGCAAGUCGCACGCCCCGCAAGGGGAGUGGCGGACGGGUGAGUAACGCGUAGGAAUGUGUCCGGAGGUGGGGGACAACCCCGGGAAACUGGGGCUAAUACCGCAUAUGUCCUGAGGGACAAAGCAGUAAGUGCGCCUUUGGAGCAGCCUGCGUCCGAUUAGGUAGUUGGUGGGGUAAUGGCCUACCAAGCCUGCGAUCGGUAGCUGGUCUGAGAGGAUGAUCAGCCACACUGGGACUGAGACACGGCCAAGACUCCUGCGGGAGGCAGCAGUGGGAAAUAUUGGAAAAGGGGCGCAAGCCUGCUCCGGCAAUGCCGCGUGGGUGAAGAAGGUCUUCGGAUCGUAAAGCCCUUUCGACAGGGACGAUGAUGACGGUACCUGUAGAAGAAGCCCCGGCUAACUUCGUGCCAGCCGCCGCCGUAA